CCUACGGGUGGCAGCAGUGAGGAAUAUUGGUCAAUGGACGAGAGUCUGAACCAGCCAAGUAGCGUGAAGGAUGACUGCCCUAUGGGUUGUAAACUUCUUUUAUAAAGGAAUAAAACGAGGCACGUGUGCCUUUUUGCAUGUACUUUAUGAAUAAGGAUCGGCUAACUCCGUGCCAGCAGCCGCGGUAAUACGGAGGAUCCGAGCGUUAUCCGGAUUUAUUGGGUUUAAAGGGAGCGUAGAUGGGUUGUUAAGUCAGUUGUGAAAGUUUGCGGCUCAACCGUAAAAUUGCAAUUGAUACUGGCAGUCGUGAGUACAGUUGAGGUAGGCGGAAUUCGUGGUGUAGCGGUGAAAUGCUUAGAUAUCACGAAGAACCCCGAUUGCGAAGGCAGCUUACUAAACUGUGACUGACAUUGAGGCUCGAAAGUGUGGGUAUCAAACAGGAUUAGAUACCCCUGUAGUC
rnacentral:rRNA from 1 species